ACAAAAUUAUUAGUGAUGGCACAGGAACAAAAGGAGCCAGAGUAUUACAAGGUUAGGCCAAAGAAUGCCACAGAUGAAGAAUCUUGCCUGGCCACUCGCUUUACAGUUCACAAUGACACAGAGGAAACCUGGCCACUUUCUGGAGUUCACAAAGCAGGAGCAGUCCUGUUUGAUGGCGAGGGAUAUUACAGCAGACUUAUGCUGAAUGAUGUCAACAAUUGUAUUGAAACAAAUAGUACAUGCGGUAUCAAGACUGAAGAUUCUAUCACUUUCCAAUCAGAUGCCAAGACCAACUUUUUGGCAUUGACUAUCUUUUGGCUGAGGAUUCUCUUCUUCAAGACCAUUGCGUUUAAUAUUCUGAUGACAGUGAAAGUCUGGCUGAACUAGUGCUUUUUGAAAUUGGUGAUAUAAUCCCAAAUUAGAAGACCUGGAGUUUUGUGCUGUCUACAUGAAGAAAGUGGAAUGUUUUGCAUGACAUGACAAUGUGGUUGUUGAAAUGCAAUGUAAUAUAGUUCUUAUUUGUUCAUUUAAGUAAUAGCAACAUCAAUCAUUUCUAUUCAACUCAAUUCGAUUUUAUGUACAUUUGUUUUUAAAUUUACGCUUUGAACAAUAGACCUUUUCACAAUGUACUACUAAAAUCUAGCUAUAUGACCGCUUGUUAAGUCUGACCGCAGUUAUUUGUUUGUUUUUUCUGUUAUUAUCAUUUCUAUUCAUUGUUACUAAUCCAGACUUUUUAUUCUUUUGUUAUGUAUCAUUUAUAGUCCAGUGUUGGCUGUUUCUGCAUAGAUAUUUCUUUGAAAAUAAACAAAACAUUAACGGAAUAUGCUAAGAUACAUGUACAUGUAUACUGUAUACUAUACUUUUGCACAUCAAAAUAAACAAUAAUUAUAUGAAA